AUUGAACGCUGGCGGAAUGCUUUACACAUGCAAGUCGAACGGCAGCACGGACUUCGGUCUGGUGGCGAGUGGCGAACGGGUGAGUAAUGUAUCGGAACGUGCCCAGUCGUGGGGGAUAACGUAGUGAAAAUUACGCUAAUACCGCAUGCGAUCUAUGGAUGAAAGCGGGGAUCGCAAGACCUCGCGCGAUUGGAGCGGCCGAUAUCAGAUUAGGUAGUUGGUGGGGUAAAGGCCCACCAAGCCAACGAUCUGUAGCUGGUCUGAGAGGACGACCAGCCACACUGGAACUGAGACACGGUCCAGACUCCUACGGGAGGCAGCAGUGGGGAAUUUUGGACAAUGGGCGAAAGCCUGAUCCAGCCAUUCCGCGUGCAGGAUGAAGGCCCUCGGGUUGUAAACUGCUUUUGUACAGAACGAAAAGGUUUCUACUAAUACUAGGAGCUCAUGACGGUACUGUAAGAAUAAGCACCGGCUAACUACGUGCCAGCCGCCGCUGUAA
rnacentral:rRNA from 1 species